GAUGAAGAACGUAGCGAAAUGCGAUAAGUAGUGUGAAUUGCAGAAUUCAGUGAAUCAUCGAAUCUUUGAACGCACAUUGCGCCCUUUGGUAUUCCUUAGGGCAUGUCUGUUCGAGCGUCAUUUAAACCUUCAAGCUCAGCUUGGUGUUGGGUGACUGUCCGCUUCACCGCGGACUCGCCUCAAAAUUAUUGGCGGCCGGUACAUUGGCUUCGAGCGCAGCAGAAACGCGAACUCGGGCCCGUCGUAUUGGCUCCCAGAAGCUAUCUUCACAAUUUUGACCUCGGAUCAGGUAGGGAUACCCGCUGAACUUAAGCAUAUCAAUAAGCGGAGGA
rnacentral:misc_RNA from 1 species